rnacentral:SRP_RNA from 1 species
GCCAGGGCAGUGGUGUGCUCGUAGUUCCAGCUACUGUGGAGGCUGAGAUGGGAAGAUUGCUUGAGCCAAGGACUUUUGGGCUAUAGUACACUAUGCCGAUUGGGUUUCCAACCUCCAGGGAGCUGGGGACCACUAGGUUGCCUCAGGAUGGGUGAACCAGCCCAGGAUGGAAAUGGAGGUCAAAACUUCCGUGCUGAUCAGUAGUGGGAUCACACUUGUGAAUAGCUGCUGCACUCCAGCCUGGGCAACACAGCGAGACCCUGUUUCU